rnacentral:rRNA from 1 species
AGUGAACGCUGGCGGCAGGCCUAACACAUGCAAGUCGAACGGACCCUUCGGGGUUAGUGGCGGACGGGUGAGUAACACGUGGGAACGUGCCCUUUGGUUCGGAACAACUCAGGGAAACUUGAGCUAAUACCGAAUAUGCCCUUCGGGGGAAAGAUUUAUCGCCAUUGGAGCGGCCCGCGUCUGAUUAGCUAGUUGGUGGGGUAAUGGCCUACCAAGGCUACGAUCAGUAGCUGGUCUGAGAGGAUGAUCAGCCACAUUGGGGCUGAGACACGGCCCAAGCUCCUACGGGAGGCAGCAGUGGGGAAUCUUGCGCAAUGGGCGAAAGCCUGACGCAGCCAUGCCGCGUGAAUGAUGAAGGUCUUAGGAUUGUAAAAUUCUUUCACCGGGGACGAUAAUGACGGUACCCGGAGAAGAAGCCCCGGCUAACUUCGUGCCAGCCGCCGCUGUAAAAC